GUAAAGGAACCUCGGCUCGGGUGCCCGUCCUCACGAGUUCGAGCUCCGACCACAGCGGAUUUAACAUGGUUUCCGUUUGGCCUCCAGGAUCUUCUUCGCCAGUUUCGGUUGGACGCGGUGGGGUAGUCGGAGUAAGUGAGAGGUCCGGAUACCUGGAUUAUCAAAAAAAAAAAUAGGGAAUCCAUGAUAAAUGUCAACAUAUUCUACGAUAUUAUUAAGAACGAAAUGUAUAUUCUACAUUCUAAUGGGAUGAUUAAUGUUUUGGACGUAUGUAUAUGGCUACUAUUAUAAAAAAAAUUCCUUUUAAUUUUUUACACUUGCCAUAUUACUCGGUCAACAUUUUUUUGGUCAAUCUAUGUUAUUCCCACAUUUAUGCCAACC
rnacentral:lncRNA from 1 species